rnacentral:rRNA from 1 species
GACAGAGGCCUCGAGCGUUAGGCGGAAUCACUGGGCUUAAAGCGUGUGUAGGCGGGCCCGUAAGCGCUUUGUGAAAUCCCCCGGCUCAACCGGGGAACUGCAGGGCGAACUGUGGAUCUUGAGGAAACUAGAGGCCGGUAGAACGAUUGGUGGAGCGGUGGAAUGCGUAGAUAUCAAUCGGAAUGCCAAAAGUGAAGACAGCCGGCUGGGGUUUUCCUGACGCUGAGGCACGAAAGCGUGGGGAGCAAACCGG